GAUGAACGCUAGCGGCAGGCCUAAUACAUGCAAGUCGAACGAUACCAGAGAGCUUGCUUUCUGGGAAAGUGGCGCACGGGUGCGUAACGCGUAUGCAACCUACCUUAAUCAGGGGGAUAGCCUCUCGAAAGAGAGAUUAACACCGCAUAAAAUCACACUUCGGCAUCGAAGAAUGAUCAAAUAUUUAUAGGAUUAAGAUGGGCAUGCGUGACAUUAGCUAGUUGGUAAGGUAACGGCUUACCAAGGCUACGAUGUCUAGGGGAUCUGAGAGGAUGACCCCCCACACUGGUACUGAGACACGGACCAGACUCCUACGGGAGGCAGCAGUAAGGAAUAUUGGUCAAUGGGGGCAACCCUGAACCAGCCAUGCCGCGUGCAGGAAGACGGCCCUACGGGUUGUAAACUGCUUUUAUACGGGAAUAAAUCUCGCUACGUGUAGUGAGUUGAAUGUACUGUAAGAAUAAGGAUCGGCUAACUCCGUGCCAGCAGCCGCGGUAAUACGGAGGAUCCAAGCGUUAUCCGGAUUUAUUGGGUUUAAAGGGUGCGUAGGCGGCCUAUUAAGUCAGGGGUGAAAGACGGUGGGCUCAACCAUCGCAGUGCCCUUGAUACUGAUGGGCUUGAUUACACUUGAGGUAGGCGGAAUGUGACAAGUAGCNGGGGAAAUGCAUANAUAUGUCACAGAACACCAAUUGCGAAGGCAAANCAGGAUUAGAUNCCNNGGUNGUCCCCCGCCCUAANCGAUGAAUACUCGAUGUUAGCGAUAUACAGUNAGCGUCAAAGCGAAAGCGUUAAGUAUUCCACCUGGGGAGUACGCCCGCAAGGGUGAAACUCAAAGGAAUUGACGGGGGCCCGCACAAGCGGAGGAGCAUGUGGUUUAAUUCGAUGAUACGCGAGGAACCUUACCCGGGCUUGAAAGUUACUGAAUGAUCUAGAGAUAGGUCAGUCCGCAAGGACAGGAAACUAGGUGCUGCAUGGCUGUCGUCAGCUCGUGCCGUGAGGUGUUGGGUUAAGUCCCGCAACGAGCGCAACCCCUAUGUUUAGUCGCCAGCAUGUAAAGGUGGGGACUCUAAACAGACUGCCUGUGCAAACAGAGAGGAAGGAGGGGACGACGUCAAGUCAUCAUGGCCCUUACGUCCGGGGCUACACACGUGCUACAAUGGGCAGUACAGAGGGCAGCUACCUGGUAACAGGAUGCCAAUCUCAAAAAGCUGUUCACAGUUCGGAUAGAGGUCUGCAACUCGACCUCUUGAAGUUGGAUUCGCUAGUAAUCGCAGAUCAGCAAUGCUGCGGUGAAUACGUUCCCGGGCCUUGUACACACCGCCCGUCAAGCCAUGGAAGUUGGGGGUACCUGAAGUACGUAACCGCAAGGAGCGUCCUAGGGUAAAACCGAUAACUGGGGCUAAGUCGUAACAAGGUAACC
rnacentral:rRNA from 1 species